UCAAGAAUGAUCAAGCAUGGUCGACCUCAUGGCUUGACGAAUAAUUUCAUGAAGUGCAUUAACCCUUGGCGAACAAUGUCGACAUAGAGGUGAUUGUACAAGGACGUCAUGUAAAAGACCUGUUUUUGUAGGUUGUAUUUAUAACAGUUGUACUUGUGUUGUUCCGACUCACAUUGUAUCCACCUUUGGUGAGCCUUGUAGAUACGUGCAUGAUUGUCGUAACACAAGAUGCAUACACCGGACAGUGAUUAAUUGUAUUACCAACUUGUGUACUUGUGUCACUGCACCAUCAGACGGUUCGGGCUCGAAUGGUGGAGGAGGCAGCGGUGGAGGAGGAGGCGGU